AGUGAACGCUGGCGGUAGGCCUAGCACAUGCAAGUCGAACGGCAGCACAGUAAGAGCUUGCUCUUACGGGUGGCGAGUGGCGGACGGGUGAGGAAUACAUCGGAAUCUACUUUUUCGUGGGGGAUAACGUAGGGAAACUUACGCUAAUACCGCAUACGACCUACGGGUGAAAGCAGGGGAUCUUCGGACCUUGCGCGAUUGAAUGAGCCGAUGUCGGAUUAGCUAGUUGGCGGGGUAAAGGCCCACCAAGGCGACGAUCCGUAGCUGGUCUGAGAGGGUGAUCAGCCACACUGGAACUGAGACACGGUCCAGACUCCUACGGGAGGCAGCAGUGGGGAAUAUUGGACAAUGGGCGCAAGCCUGAUCCAGCCAUACCGCGUGGGUGAAGAAGGCCUUCGGGUUGUAAAGCCCUUUUGUUGGGAAAGAAAAGCAGCAGGUUAAUACCCCGCUGUUCUGACGGUACCCAAAGAAUAAGCACCGGCUAACUUCGUG
rnacentral:rRNA from 1 species